UCCUACGGGAGGCAGCAGUGGGGAAUAUUGCACAAUGGGCGCAAGCCUGAUGCAGCAACGCCGUGUGAGUGAAGAAGGUUUUCGGAUCGUAAAACUCUGUCCUAAGGGAAGAAACAAAUGACGGUACCUUAGGAGGAAGCCCCGGCUAACUACGUGCCAGCAGCCGCGGUAAUACGUAGGGGGCAAGCGUUGUCCGGAUUUAUUGGGCGUAAAGCGAGCGCAGGUGGUUUCUUAAGUCUGAUGUAAAAGGCAGUGGCUCAACCAUUGUGUGCAUUGGAAACUGGGAGACUUGAGUGCAGGAGAGGAGAGUGGAAUUCCAUGUGUAGCGGUGAAAUGCGUAGAUAUAUGGAGGAACACCGGAGGCGAAAGCGGCUCUCUGGCCUGUAACUGACACUGAGGCUCGAAAGCGUGGGGAGCAAACAGGAUUAGAUACCCUGGUAG
rnacentral:rRNA from 1 species